UACGUAGGGGGCGAGCGUUGUCCGGAAUUAUUGGGCGUAAAGAGCGUGUAGGCUGUUCGGUAAGUCUGCCGUGAAAACCUGAGGCUCAACCUCGGGCGUGCGGUGGAUACUGCCGGGCUAGAGGACGGUAGAGGCGAGUGGAAUUCCCGGUGUAGCGGUGAAAUGCGCAGAUAUCGGGAGGAACACCAGUGGCGAAGGCGGCUUCCUGGACCGGUUCUGACACUGAGGAGCGAAAGCGUGGGGAGCGAUCCGG
rnacentral:rRNA from 1 species